UACAGAGGGGGCAAGCGUUAUUCGGAAUUAUUGGGCGUAAAGGGCGCGUAGGCGGCCCGGCAAGUGGAAGGUGAAAUCCCUCGGCUCAACCGAGGAACUGCCUUCCAAACUGCCUGGGCUUGAGUCCGGGAGAGGUGAGUGGAAUUCCCAGUGUAGCGGUGAAAUGCGUAGAGAUCGGGAGGAACACCCGUGGCGAAGGCGGCCAACUGGGCCGGACCUGACGCUGAGGCGCGAAGGCGUGGGGAGCGAACGGG
rnacentral:rRNA from 1 species